rnacentral:tRNA from 1 species
CAAGAGAAAGCAUUAAUGAUGUUUUUCACUUACGUUGAAAAGAGGGAUUUAUACUAUCCUCUCUUGA